UUCGCAAAAUUAUAAAUCUCUAUGAUUAACAACAAAAUUUCAAGCUGAAACAAACGAAAUCACAAAAAUAUCAAAUCCAGAUCCGUCAAAACAAAAACCAAAUAUCACUGUGAUUUUUCCGUUCUAAGCUAAAAUGAAAACAAAAGUAUACAUUCAACAUACUUGUAUUCAUCUACGAACCGAUCUGCCGGAAUUUCGCGUCGCCGCCGUGGAAGGAAAAAAAAAUUGUUCUUCAUCGACUCUGCUACCGGUCCACCAUAUCGGUCGGUUCAUAGUGGCACCGCCGGCGGUGUUAGGAGGUGAAAUAGAAGAUUGGUUGAAGAGCGAGAUAGAGGAAGAUGAAGCAAAAGCUGGAUGUUGCUAAGAAUAUCAAUCCGUAGAUAGUUCGAAUCGCCAUGGAAGAGAGAGAUAUUGAGAUUUAGAUCUGGAGAGAGUGGAGUGGAUCUUG
rnacentral:misc_RNA from 1 species